AUCGCGACGAGUUUGCCUAGGCGGAGCCUGGUUGCUGCCGCGGCGACCACGUU
rnacentral:sRNA from 1 species